AGUGAACGCUGGCGGUAGGCCUAACACAUGCAAGUCGAACGGCAGCACAGUAAGAGCUUGCUCUUACGGGUGGCGAGUGGCGGACGGGUGAGGAAUACAUCGGAAUCUACUUUUUCGUGGGGGAUAACGUAGGGAAACUUACGCUAAUACCGCAUACGACCUACGGGUGAAAGCAGGGGAUCUUCGGACCUUGCGCGAUUGAAUGAGCCGAUGUCGGAUUAGCUAGUUGGCGGGGUAAAGGCCCACCAAGGCGACGAUCCGUAGCUGGUCUGAGAGGAUGAUCAGCCACACUGGAAAUGAGACACGGUCCAGACUCCUAAGGGAGGCAGCAGUGGGGAAUAUUGGACAAUGGGCGCAAGCCUGAUCCAGACAUACCGCGUGGGUGAAGAAGGCCUUCGGGUUGUAAAGCCCUUUUGUUGGGAAAGAAAAGCAGCAGGUUAAUACCCCGCUGUUCUGACGGUACCCAAAGAAUAAGCACCGGCUAACUUCGUG
rnacentral:rRNA from 1 species